AUUGCUCGAUUAAGAAACACAGAAAUGAGCCAACACAAAUGGUCGUCGCAAGUUGGAGCUCGAUUGUUCUGCAAUUCGUAAUAAAGUCAUACAGAGUACUUUUACUUCAGGGCCGACAGCUGUCAAUUCACAAAUCAGGUGAAUGUAUUGCAGAUCACGUCACGUUUUCUCACAAGUGAGACUACAAGACCUACGCUAGUUUUAUUGAGUGAGCGAGAUGAGAACGACUUAGGGGAAUCAAGAACCAAGUUCGUCACUUCUACAGCUUCAGCGGACAAUCCCAGCUUAUUCUUGGUAUCAACUGCGUCUUCGCGAACUGAUCUAAUGAUCAGACGAAAGAGCAAUCAUAUUGAGGAUAUCUCCA